GCCAGUGUGACAUACUGGUUUGAGUGUUGGAUUGUGACUUGGAGACCAGGGUUCAAUUCCCUGCUCAGCCA